CGCGGCCUAUCAGCUUGUUGGUGGGGUAAUGGCCUACCAAGGCGACGACGGGUAGCCGGCCUGAGAGGGUGACCGGCCACACUGGGACUGAGACACGGCCCAGACUCCUACGGGAGGCAGCAGUGGGGAAUAUUGCACAAUGGGCGCAAGCCUGAUGCAGCGACGCCGCGUGAGGGAUGACGGCCUUCGGGUUGUAAACCUCUUUCAGCACGGAAGAAGCGAAAGUGACGGUACGUGCAGAAGAAGCGCCGGCUAACUACGUGCCAGCAGCCGCGGUAAUACGUAGGGCGCAAGCGUUGUCCGGAAUUAUUGGGCGUAAAGAGCUCGUAGGCGGUUUGUCGCGUCUGCUGUGAAAGCCCGGGGCUUAACCCCGGGUGUGCAGUGGGUACGGGCAGACUUGAGUGCAGUAGGGGAGACUGGAACUCCUGGUGUAGCGGUGAAACGCGCAGAUAUCAGGAAGAACACCGAUGGCGAAGGCAGGUCUCUGGGCUGUUACUGACGCUGAGGAGCGAAAGCAUGGGGAGCGAACAGGAUUAGAUACCCUGGUAGUCCAUGCCGUAAACGUUGGGCACUAGGUGUGGGGGACAUUCCACGUUUUCCGCGCCGUAGCUAACGCAUUAAGUGCCCCGCCUGGGGAGUACGG
rnacentral:rRNA from 1 species